GUUCUUUUCUUUUUUUUUUUUUUUUGAGAGGGCAUCUCUCAUAUUUAUUGAUCAAAUGGUUGUUAACAACAAUAAAAUUCUAUAUAGGGGGCUCAAUGCUCAAUGCACAAUCAUUAAUCCACCCCAAGCCUAAUUCUCGUCAGUCUCCAAUCUUCUGAAGCAUAACGAACAAGUUCUUACAUGGUGAACAAAUUCUUACAUAGUGAAUAAGUUCUUACAUGGUGAACAGUACAAGGGUAGUCAUCACAGAAACUUUUGGUUUUGAUCACGCAUUAUGAACUAUAAACAAUCAGGUCAAAUAUGAAUAUUCGUUUGAUUUUUAUACUUGAUUUAUAUGUGGAUCCCACAUUUCUCCCUUAUUAUUAUUAUUAUUAUUAUUUUUAAUAAAAUGCUGAAGUGGUAGGUAGAUGCAAGAUAAAGGAAGAAAACAGUUUAGUGCUGUAAGAGGGCAAAUGUAGAUGAUCAGAUGAUCAGGUGUGUGCCUAUAGACUAAGUAUUAAUCCAAGCUAGACAAGGGCAACAAAACAUCCACGGAUGCAGAAGAUUUCUCUCAAAACAGGGGGUGAGGUUCUAAGCCUCACCUCUGUUGAUCCCCAAUUUCUCACCUGAUGGCCCCCCUGCGACUGUGCCUG